rnacentral:rRNA from 1 species
ACGAACGCUGGCGGCGUGCCUAAUACAUGCAAGUUGAGCGCUGAAGGUUGGUACUUGUACCAACUGGAUGAGCAGCGAACGGGUGAGUAACGCGUGGGGAAUCUGCCUUUGAGCGGGGGACAACAUUUGGAAACGAAUGCUAAUACCGCAUAAAAACUUUAAACACAAGUUUUAAGUUUGAAAGAUGCAAUUGCAUCACUCAAAGAUGAUCCCGCGUUGUAUUAGCUAGUUGGUGAGGUAAAGGCUCACCGAGGCGAUGAUACAUAGCCGACCUGAGAGGGUGAUCGGCCACAUUGGGACUGAGACACGGCCCAAACUCCUACGGGAGGCAGCAGUAGGGAAUCUUCGGCAAUGGACGAAAGUCUGACCGAGCAACGCCGCGUGAGUGAAGAAGGUUUUCGGAUCGUAAAACUCUGUUGGUAGAGAAGAACGUUGGUGAGAGUGGAAAGCUCAUCAAGUGACGGUAACUACCCAGAAAGGGACGGCUAACUACGUG